GGGCGCAUGGUGUAGUUGGUUAUCACAUCCGCUUAGCAUUUCACAAAUGUCUGCGGGGGGUGCUGGGUUCAAUUCCCAGUGCGUCCA